GACGAACGCUGGCGGCGUGCUUAACACAUGCAAGUCGAACGGAAAGGCCCUGCUUUUGUGGGGUGCUCGAGUGGCGAACGGGUGAGUAACACGUGAGUAACCUGCCCUUGACUUUGGGAUAACUUCAGGAAACUGGGGCUAAUACCGGAUAGGAGCUCCUGCUGCAUGGUGGGGGUUGGAAAGUUUCGGCGGUUGGGGAUGGACUCGCGGCUUAUCAGCUUGUUGGUGGGGUAGUGGCUUACCAAGGCUUUGACGGGUAGCCGGCCUGAGAGGGUGACCGGCCACAAUGGGACUGAGAUACGGCCCAGACUGCUACGGGAGGCAGCAGGGGGGAAUAUUGCACAAUGGGCGGAAGCCUGAUGCAGCAGCGCCGCGUGCGGGAUGACGGCCUUCUGGGUGUAAACCGCUUUCGCCUGUGACGAAGCGUGAGUGACGGUAAUGGGUAAAGAAGCACCGGCUAACUACGUG
rnacentral:rRNA from 1 species